UUGAAAUUCUAACCCGCACCCCUUAGCGGGGUGGGAGACAGUGUCAGGCGGGCAGUUUGACUGGGGCGGUCGCCUCCCAAAAGGUAACGGAGGCGCCCAAAGGUUCCCUCAGAAUGGUUGGAAAUCAUUCGGAGAGUGCAAAGGCACAAGGGAGCUUGACUGCGAGACGGACAGGUCGAGCAGGGACGAAAGUCGGGCUUAGUGAUCCGGUGGUUCCGCAUGGAAGGGCCAUCGCUCAACGGAUAAAAGCUACCCCGGGGAUAACAGGCUGAUCUCCCCCAAGAGUCCACAUCGACGGGGAGGUUUGGCACCUCGAUGUCGGCUCAUCGCAUCCUGGGGCUGUAGUCGGUCCCAAGGGUUGGGCUGUUCGCCCAUUAAAGCGGUACGCGAGCUGGGUUCAGAACGUCGUGAGACAGUUCGGUCCCUAUCCGUCGCGGGCGGAGGAAAUUUGAGAGGAGCUGUCCUUAGUACGAGAGGACCGGGAUGGACGCACCGCUGGUGUACCAGUUGUCCCGCCAGGGGCACCGCUGGGUAGCUAUGUGCGGACGGGAUAAGCGCUGAAAGCAUCUAAGCGUGAAGCCCCCCUCAAGAUGAGAUUUCCCACCGCGUUAGGCGGGUAAGAUCCCUCGAAGAUGACGAGGUCGAUAGGUCCGAGGUGGAAGCGUGGCGACACGUGGAGCUGACGGAUACUAAUCGAUCGAGGGCUUAACCUAG
rnacentral:rRNA from 1 species